GCCGAAGUGGCGGAAUUGGUAGACGCGCUAGGUUCAGGGUCUAGUGGGGGUUCCCUCGUGAAGGUUCAAGUCCUUUCUUCGGCACCA
rnacentral:tRNA from 1 species